CCUACGGGAGGCAGCAGUGAGGAAUAUUGGUCAAUGGGCGAGAGCCUGAACCAGCCAAGUCGCGUGAGGGAGUACUGCCCUAUGGGUUGUAAACCUCUUUUGUCGGGGAGCAAAAGCCGGACGUGUCCGGCUGUGAGAGUACCCGAAGAAAAAGCAUCGGCUAACUCCGUGCCAGCAGCCGCGGUAAUACGGAGGAUGCGAGCGUUAUCCGGAUUUAUUGGGUUUAAAGGGUGCGCAGGCGGAUUUUUAAGUCAGCGGUAAAAUCGUGGGGCUCAACCCCAUCCAGCCGUUGAAACUGGGGAUCUAGAGUGUGCGAGAGGUAUGCGGAAUGCGUGGUGUAGCGGUGAAAUGCAUAGAUAUCACGCAGAACCCCGAUUGCGAAGGCAGCAUACCGGUGCACAACUGACGCUGAGGCACGAAAGCGUGGGUAUCGAACAGGAUUAGAUACCCGAGUAGUC
rnacentral:rRNA from 1 species